rnacentral:rRNA from 1 species
CAGCCGCCACGGUAAUACGGAGGGUGCAAGCGUUAAUCGGAAUUACUGGGCGUGAAGCGCACGCAGGCGGUUUGUUAAGUCAGAUGUGAAAUCCCCGAGCUUAACCUGGGAACUGCAUUUGAAACUGGCAAGCUAGAGUCUUGUAGAGGGGGGUAGAAUUCCAGGUGUAGUGGUGAAAUGCGUAGAGAUCUGGAGGAAUACCGGUGGCGAAGGCGGCCAUCUUGGACAACAUUGACGCUGAGGCACGAAAGCGUGGGGAGCAAACAGGAUUAGAUACCCCUGUAGUCCCUGUCUCUUAUAC